rnacentral:rRNA from 1 species
GAGUUUGAUCAUGGCUCAGAUUGAACGCUGGCGGCAUGCCUUACACAUGCAAGUCGAACGGCAGCACGGGAGCUUGCUCCUGGUGGCGAGUGGCGAACGGGUGAGUAAUGCAUCGGAACGUAUCCUGGAGUGGGGGAUAACGUAGCGAAAGUUACGCUAAUACCGCAUAUUCUGUGAGCAGGAAAGCGGGGGACCUUCGGGCCUCGCGCUCUUGGAGCGGCCGAUGUCGGAUUAGCUAGUUGGUGAGGUAAAGGCUCACCAAGGCGACGAUCCGUAGCAGGUCUGAGAGGAUGAUCUGCCACACUGGAGCUGAGACACGGUCCAGACUCCUACGGGAGGCAGCAGUGGGGAAUUUUGGACAAUGGGGCAACCCUGAUCCAGCCAUGCCGCGUGAGUGAAGAAGGCC